ACGCUGGCGGCAGGCCUAACACAUGCAAGUCGAGCGCGAAAGUCCUUCGGGAUGAGUAAAGCGGCGGACGGGUGAGUAACGCGUGGGAAUCUACCUAGUAGUGGGGGACAACAGCCGGAAACGGCUGCUAAUACCGCAUACGCCCUACGGGGGAAAGGAGGGGAUCUUCGGACCUUUCGCUAUUAGAUGAGCCCGCGUUAGAUUAGCUAGUUGGUAGGGUAAGAGCCUACCAAGGCGACGAUCUAUAGCUGGUCUGAGAGGAUGAUCAGCCACACUGGGACUGAGACACGGCCCAGACUCCUACGGGAGGCAGCAGUGGGGAAUAUUGCGCAAUGGGCGAAAGCCUGACGCAGCCAUGCCGCGUGUGUGAAGAAGGCCUUAGGGUUGUAAAGCACUUUCAAUGGGGAGGAAAGGUUGUAAGCUAAUACCUUGCAACUG
rnacentral:rRNA from 1 species